rnacentral:rRNA from 1 species
GCGACCCCAGGUGAUGUGGGAUUACCCGCUGAAUUUAAGCAUA